rnacentral:rRNA from 1 species
GACGAACGCUGGCGGCGUGCUUAACACAUGCAAGUCGAACGGAAAGUCCCUGCUUUUGUGGUGUGCUGGAGUGGCGAACGGGUGAGUAACACGGGAGUAACCUGCCCUUGACUUUGGGAUAACUUCAGGAAACUGGGGCUAAUACCGGAUAGGAGCUCCUGCUGCAUGGUGGGGGUUGGAAAGUUUCGGCGGUUGGGGAUGGACUCGCGGCUUAUCAGCUUGUUGGUGGGGUAGUGGCUCACCAAGGCUUUGACGGGUAGCCGGCCUGAGAGGGUGACCGGCCACGUUGGGACUGAGAUACGGCCCAGACUCCUACGGGAGGCAGCAGUGGGGAAUAUUGCACAAUGGGCGGAAGCCUGAUGCAGCACCGCCGCGUGCGGGAUGACGGCCUUCGGGUUGUAAACCGCUUUCGCCUGUGACGAAGCGUGAGUGACGGUAAUGGGUAAAGAAGCCCCGGCUAACUACGUG